CAUUAAGUGGCUGAAAAUGUUUAAGCAUUGGUCUCUUAAACCAAUAUAUAGUAAAUUAACAAAUACUCUUAAUGA
rnacentral:tRNA from 1 species